CCUACGGGUGGCAGCAGUGAGGAAUAUUGGUCAAUGGGCGCGAGCCUGAACCAGCCAAGUCGCGUGAGGGAAGACGGUCCUAUGGAUUGUAAACCUCUUUUGUAGGGGAGUAAAAGACGCGACGCGUGGCGUUCUGUGAGUACCCGAUGAAAAAGCAUCGGCUAACUCCGUGCCAGCAGCCGCGGUAAUACGGAGGAUUCGAGCGUUAUCCGGAUUUAUUGGGUUUAAAGGGUGCGCAGGCGGGAUGUGAAGUCGGCGGUUAAAAUUGGUGGCUCAACCCUUUACUAGCCGUUGAAACUGGUUUUCUUGAGUGUGUUAGAGGUAGGCGGAAUGCGUGGUGUAGCGGUGAAAUGCAUAGAUAUCACGCAGAACUCCGAUUGCGAAGGCAGCAUACCGGCGCUCAACUGACGCUGAUGCACGAAAGUGUGGGUAUCGAACAGGAUUAGAUACCCCAGUAGUC
rnacentral:rRNA from 1 species